AAAGCCCUUGCCUCAUUGAUGAUGCUCAUCUCUUGGGAGGUUUGGUCCGAGAGAAACGCUAGAGUCUUCCGCAACGUGGCGGUUCCAUCCGUGGUCAUCAUCAACAAGAUCAAGCAUGAGGCGUCGCUUUGGGCUUCAGCGGGUGCCAAGCACUUUAGUAUUGUAAUGCCGCGAGAGUAA
rnacentral:rRNA from 1 species